rnacentral:rRNA from 2 species
AGAGUUUGAUCCUGGCUCAGGAUGAACGCUAGCUACAGGCUUAACACAUGCAAGUCGAGGGGCAGCAUUUUAGUUUGCUUGCAAACUAAAGAUGGCGACCGGCGCACGGGUGAGUAACACGUAUCCAACCUGCCGAUAACUCGGGGAUAGCCUUUCGAAAGAAAGAUUAAUAUCCGAUAGUAUAUUAAAACCGCAUGGUUUUACUAUUAAAGAAUUUCGGUUAUCGAUGGGGAUGCGUUCCAUUAGUUUGUUGGCGGGGUAACGGCCCACCAAGACUACGAUGGAUAGGGGUUCUGAGAGGAAGGUCCCCCACAUUGGAACUGAGACACGGUCCAAACUCCUACGGGAGGCAGCAGUGAGGAAUAUUGGUCAAUGGACGAGAGUCUGAACCAGCCAAGUAGCGUGAAGGAUGACUGCCCUAUGGGUUGUAAACUUCUUUUAUAUGGGAAUAAAGUAUUCCACGUGUGGGAUUUUGUAUGUACCAUAUGAAUAAGGAUCGGCUAACUCCGUGCCAGCAGCCGCGGUAAUACGGAGGAUCCGAGCGUUAUCCGGAUUUAUUGGGUUUAAAGGGAGCGUAGGUGGAUUGUUAAGUCAGUUGUGAAAGUUUGCGGCUCAACCGUAAAAUUGCAGUUGAAACUGGCAGUCUUGAGUACAGUAGAGGUGGGCGGAAUUCGUGGUGUAGCGGUGAAAUGCUUAGAUAUCACGAAGAACUCCGAUUGCGAAGGCAGCUCACUAGACUGCAACUGACACUGAUGCUCGAAAGUGUGGGUAUCAAACAGGAUUAGAUACCCUGGUAGUCCACACAGUAAACGAUGAAUACUCGCUGUUUGCGAUAUACAGUAAGCGGCCAAGCGAAAGCAUUAAGUAUUCCACCUGGGGAGUACGCCGGCAACGGUGAAACUCAAAGGAAUUGACGGGGGCCCGCACAAGCGGAGGAACAUGUGGUUUAAUUCGAUGAUACGCGAGGAACCUUACCCGGGCUUAAAUUGCAUUUGAAUAAUCUGGAAACAGGUUAGCCGCAAGGCAAAUGUGAAGGUGCUGCAUGGUUGUCGUCAGCUCGUGCCGUGAGGUGUCGGCUUAAGUGCCAUAACGAGCGCAACCCUUAUCUUUAGUUACUAACAGGUCAUGCUGAGGACUCUAGAGAGACUGCCGUCGUAAGAUGUGAGGAAGGUGGGGAUGACGUCAAAUCAGCACGGCCCUUACGUCCGGGGCUACACACGUGUUACAAUGGGGGGUACAGAAGGCAGCUACCUGGCGACAGGAUGCUAAUCCCAAAAACCUCUCUCAGUUCGGAUCGAAGUCUGCAACCCGACUUCGUGAAGCUGGAUUCGCUAGUAAUCGCGCAUCAGCCAUGGCGCGGUGAAUACGUUCCCGGGCCUUGUACACACCGCCCGUCAAGCCAUGAAAGCCGGGGGUACCUGAAGUACGUAACCGCAAGGAGCGUCCUAGGGUAAAACUGGUAAUUGGGGCUAAGUCGUAACAAGGUAGCCGUACCGGAAGGUGCGGCUGGAACACCU